rnacentral:rRNA from 1 species
GAUGAACGCUGGCGGCGUGCCUAAUACAUGCAAGUCGAGCGAACGGACGAGAAGCUUGCUUCUCUGAUGUUAGCGGCGGACGGGUGAGUAACACGUGGAUAACCUACCUAUCAGACUGGGAUAACUUCGGGAAACCGUAGCUAAUACCGGAUGAUAUUUUGAACCGCAUUGUUCAAAAGUUAAAGACGGUCUUUCUUUCACUUAUAGAUUGAUCCGCGCUGCAUUAGCUAGUUGGUAAGGUAACGGCUUAACAAGGCAACGAUGCAUAGCCGACCUGAGAGGGUGAUCGGACACACUGGAACUGAGAAACGGUCCAGACUCCGACGGGAGGCAGCAGUAGGGAAUCUUACGCAAUGGGCGAAAGCCUGACGGAGCAACGCCGCGUGAGUGAUGAAGGUCUUAGGAUCGUAAAACUCUGUUAUUAGGGAAGAACAUAUGUGUAAGUAACUGUGCACAUCUUGACGGUACCGAAUCAGAAAGCCACGGCUAACUACGUG